CAAGAUUCCGGCCUACGGGGGGCAGCAGCGCGAAACCUUUACACUGCACGACAGUGCGAUAGGGGAUCCCAAGUGCACAGGCAUAGCGCCUGUGCUUUUCGGUACCGUAAGGUGGUACCAGAAUAAGGGCUGGGCAAGACCGGUGCCAGCCGCCGCGGUAAUACCGGCAGCCCAAGUGAUGGCCGAUCUUAUUGGGCCUAAAGCGUCCGUAGCUGGCCGCGCAAGUCCAUCGGGAAAUCCACCUGCUCAACAGGUGGGCGCCCGGUAGAAACUGCGUGGCUUGGGACCGGAAGGCGCGACGGGUACGUCCGGGGUAGGAGUGAAAUCCCGUAAUCCUGGACGGACCGCCGAUGGCGAAAGCACGUCGCGAGGACGGAUCCGACAGUGAGGGACGAAAGCCAGGGUCUCGAACCGGAUUAGAUACCCGGGUAGUCCUGGCCGUAAACAAUGUCUGCUAGGUGUGGCUCCCACUACGAGUGGGUGCUGUGCCGUAGGGAAGCCGCUAAGCAGACCGCCUGGGAAGUACGUCCGCAAGGAUGAAACUUAAAGGAAUUGGCGGGGGAGCACUACAACCGGAGGAGCCUGCGGUUUAAUUGGACUCAACGCCGGACAUCUCACCAGCAUCGACUGUAAUAAUGACGACCAGGUUGAUGACCUUGUCCGAGUUUCAGAGAGGAGGUGCAUGGCCGCCGUCAGCUCGUACCGUGAGGCGUCCUGUUAAGUCAGGCAACGAGCGAGACCCGCACCCUUACUUGCCAGCAGUACCGCGAGGUAGCUGGGGACAGUAGGGGGACCGCCGUGGCUAACACGGAGGAAGGAACGGGCAACGGUAGGUCAGUAUGCCCCGAAUGUGCUGGGCAACACGCGGGCUACAAUGGUCGAGACAAAGGGUUCCUACUCCGAAAGGAGACGGUAAUCUCAGAAACUCGAUCGUAGUUCGGAUUGUGGGCUGCAACUCGCCCACAUGAAGCUGGAUUCGGUAGUAAUCGCGUGUCACAAGCGCGCGGUGAAUACGUCCCUGCUCCUUGCACACACCGCCCGUCAAAGCACCCGAGUGAGGUCCGGAUGAGGCGUACACGAACGUCGAA
rnacentral:rRNA from 1 species